rnacentral:rRNA from 1 species
AUUGAACGCUGGCGGCAGGCCUAACACAUGCAAGUCGAGCGGAUGAAGCGAGCUUGCUCCUGGAUUCAGCGGCGCACGGGUGAGUAAUGCCUAUGAAUCUGCCUGGCUGUGGUUGAUAACGUCCUGAAACGGGCGCUAAUACUGCCUACGUCCUGCGGCUGCUGGUUGGUGAUCUUCGGACCUCACGCUCUCAGAUGAGCCUAGGUCGGGUUAGCUAGUUGGUGGGGUAAAGGCCUGCCUAGGCGACGAUCCGCAAGUGGUCUGAGAGGAUGAUCGCUCACACUGGAGCGGAGACACGGUCAAGACUACUGCGGGAGGCAGCAGUCGGGAAUAUUGGACAACGGGCGAAAGCCUGAUACAGUCAUGGCGCGUGUGAGAAGAAGGUCUUCGGAUUGUAAAGCACGUUAAGUGGGGAGGAAGGGCAGUAAGUUAAUACCUUGCUGUAUUGACGUUACCAACAGAAGAAGCACCGGCUAACUUCGUG